rnacentral:sRNA from 1 species
GGAAAAAUGAGAAGAUCUGGGAGAACUCUUUAAGCUUAAGGUCAGUAGUACUGACAGACAAUCCAUGGCCAGUCUAACGUGUUUCUAAGGAGGUCAAUGUUGUAUGUAUGGAAAAUUAAGACAAUUAAGAAGGAAACACGGGUGUACCCGGCUUAUAAAGAAUUUCUAAAGAAAGAGAGUGGGCUAUAGAGUGAUCCAUAUGGCCACCUGUGCAGGAUCACAGAGAUUAACUACAGCAGAGAUAGAGUUUGAGCUGUGGACUCUGGAGCCAGUUCUUGGAACCAUGGGAAGCUGCUCUACCUUCCAAGUUAUUCUUUGUUUGGCUUCCUGGGAAAGGUGGUCUGUGCUACUGGCUUCUGAAUGAUGGGAAGAGAUCUCAUGACUGGGUUUGGAGCAUGGCUAAGCGAGUAUCCUUGUGUUCUCUGACUGCAUGUUUAUUUUGCAUAUGAAACAGGUGAGUUUCCUUUACACUGUUUACAGUGUGGAGAGCUCAGCACCCUCAUGCUAUA